rnacentral:lncRNA from 1 species
UAGGAAUGGAAUUAAAUAGUGAAUAAAUUAUGUAAACAAACCUUGAAGAAUCUACUUUCAUAGGAAAGUAACGAAACAAUCAUAUGGACAGUACAGUAAGAGAUAUUCGGGUUCUUGUGGAACAGGGCCAGAACAGUUUCUGGAUUCCCUGUUCCGCCUUUGGAAAUUCACUAUAAAUUGACCAGAGAUAAUUAGGGGUCAUACCAUAUAUGUAUGGAUUCCUCUCUGAGUCUAGUUUCCAUAGAAACAAACGGCAUCAGUAUUGAAGCUCUGUGCAGAGAGAUAUCCAAGUCGUAAUGGGAAAAGGUCAGUGUAGUCAACCCCUAUAACAUGGGAGACAUUGACUAAUAAACUGUACUAAUUGGCCCGACCAAAAAUUCUAGAAAAAAGUACAUAG